GAGAAAUGAAAGAAGUUGAAGAAGAAGUUGAAAAAGAAGUUGAAGAAGCAGUUGAAGAAGAAGUUGAAGAAGCAGUUGAAGAAGAAGUUGAAGAAGAAGUUGAAAAAGAAGUUGAAGAAGAAGAAGAAGAAGAAGAAGAAGAAAAAGAAGAAGAAAAAGUAAACGGUAACGGAGCAGGAGAAAUGAAAGAAGUUGAAGAAGAAGCUGAAAAAGAGGUUGAAGAAGAAGUUGAAAAAGAGAUUGAAGAAGAAGUUGAAGAAGCAGUCGAAGAAGCAGUCGAAGAAGAAGUUGAAGAGGAAGUUGAAGAAGCAGUUGAAGAAGCAGUUGAAGAAGCAGUUGAAGAAGCAGUUGAAGAAGCUGAAAAAGAAGUUGAAGAAGCUGAAAAAGAAGUUGCAGAGGAAGUUGAGGAAGAAGUUGAAGAAGAAGAAGAAGAAAAAGAAGAAGUAGCUGAUGAAAAUGUGUCAAUUAUUCACUUUGACAUUGGUGACUUUGAUGAAUUUUACGAUGAAGAAAUACAUAUAGCAGCAAUUGAAGAACAAUUAGAAGAACAAUUAGAGGAACAAUUAGAAGAACAAGAAAUGUUAGAAGAAUUAGAACAAACGGAAGAAGAUGAAGGAGAAAAGGAGCAAGAUGAAAAGCAAAGAGAAGAGGAAGAGGAAGAGGAAGAGGAAGAACUAACAUUAAGUGAAACAGAAGAAGAAAAAGAUAGUGAUUCCACAGAGACUAUUCAUUUAGAGCCAUUUACUGAUGACAGCGUUGAGAAAGAAUUUCAAAAAAUAAUUAAAAAUGAAACAAAUGAUAAAAAUGCAGAAGCAGCAAAAGAAGUAGUGAAAUUAAUUGAACAAGAAAAUUAUGAAAUAAGCGAUUCUAUUAAAUCAAUUGAACAAGAUUUAAAUUCGUAUAUUAAUGACAAUUAAAUUUAUGCAUAAUGAAAUUUGCAUAAGUAUUUACAGGCCAUGUAUAUAUACAUGCCUGUACGCUUUAAGCUAAUUUCUUUUUUUUUAAGCUUUUUUUUUUUUUUAUUAAAAUGUUUUUUAAAAAAAAUUACUACAUAUUUUUUUUUUUUUUUGUUGAAAUUUUUUAAUUAGAAAGUAAACAAAAAAAAAUUAUAAAAGCAAAAUAAAAUGAAAUUUACUAAAA
rnacentral:lncRNA from 1 species